rnacentral:rRNA from 1 species
UCUGGUUGAUCCUGCCAGAGGUUACUGCUAUCGGUGUUCGCCUAAGCCAUGCGAGUCAUAUGUUCUUCGUGAACAUGGCGUACUGCUCAGUAACACGUGGAUAACCUGCCCUUGGGACCGGGAUAACCCCGGGAAACUGGGGAUAAUACCGGAUAACGCAUAUCUGCUGGAAUGCUUUAUGCGUAAAAUGGAUUUGUCUGCCCAAGGAUGGGUCUGCGGCCUAUCAGGUAGUAGUGGGUGUAAUGUACCUACUAGCCUACGACGGGUACGGGUUGUGAGAGCAAGAGCCCGGAGAUGGAUUCUGAGACAUGAAUCCAGGCCCUACGGGGCGCAGCAGGCGCGAAAACUUUACAAUGCGGGAAACCGUGAUAAGGGGACACCGAGUGCCAGCAUCAUAUGUUGGCUGUCCAGAUGUGUAAAAUACAUCUGUUAGCAAGGGCCGGGCAAGACCGGUGCCAGCCGCCGCGGUAACACCGGCGGCCCGAGUGGUGAUCGUGAUUAUUGGGUCUAAAGGGUCCGUAGCCGGUUUGGUCAGUCCUCCGGGAAAUCUGACGGCUCAACCGUUAGGCUUUCGGUGGAUACUGCCAGACUUGGAACCGGGAGAGGUAAGAGGUACUACAGGGGUAGGAGUGAAAUCUUGUAAUCCCUGUGAGACCACCUGUGGCGAAGGCGUCUUACCAGAACGGGUUCGACGGUGAGGGACGAAAGCUGGGGGCACGAACCGGAUUAGAUACCCGGGUAGUCCCAGCCGUAAACGAUGCUCGCUAGGUGUCAGGCAUGGCGCGACCGUGUCUGGUGCCGCAGGGAAGCCGUGAAGCGAGCCACCUGGGAAGUACGGCCGCAAGGCUGAAACUUAAAGGAAUUGGCGGGGGAGCACAACAACGGGUGGAGCUUGCGGUUUAAUUGGACUCAACGCCGGACAACUCACCGGGGACGACAGCAAUAUGUAGGCCAGGCUAAAGACCUUGCCUGAAUCGCUGAGAGGAGGUGCAUGGCCGUCGCCAGUUCGUACUGUGAAGCAUCCUGUUAAGUCAGGCAACGAGCGAGACCC